rnacentral:rRNA from 1 species
UACGAAAGGGGCUAGCGUUGCUCGGAAUUAUUGGGCGUAAAGAGCUCGUAGGCGGUUCGUCGCGUCGGCUGUGAAAUCCCGAGGCUCAACCUCGGGUCUGCAGUCGAUACGGGCGGACUGGAGUUCGGCAGGGGAGACUGGAAUUCCUGGUGUAGCGGUGAAAUGCGCAGAUAUCAGGAGGAACACCGGUGGCGAAGGCGGGUCUCUGGGCCGAUACUGACGCUGAGGAGCGAAAGCGUGGGGAGCGAACAGG